rnacentral:rRNA from 1 species
GAUUAAGUUAUUAAGGGCGCACGGUGGAUGCCUUGGCACUAGAAGCCGAUGAAGGACGUUACUAACGACGAUAUGCUUUGGGGAGCUGUAAGUAAGCUUUGAUCCAGAGAUUUCCGAAUGGGGAAACCCAGCAUGAGUUAUGUCAUGUUAUCGAUAUGUGAAUACAUAGCAUAUCAGAAGGCACACCCGGAGAACUGAAACAUCUUAGUACCCGGAGGAAGAGAAAGAAAAUUCGAUUCCCUUAGUAGCGGCGAGCGAAACGGGAAGAGCCCAAACCAACAAGCUUGCUUGUUGGGGUUGUAGGACACUCUAUACGGAGUUACAAAGGACGACAUUAGACGAAUCAUCUGGAAAGAUGAAUCAAAGAAGGUAAUAAUCCUGUAGUCGAAAAUGUUGUCUCUCUUGAGUGGAUCCUGAGUACGACGGAGCACGUGAAAUUCCGUCGGAAUCUGGGAGGACCAUCUCCUAAGGCUAAAUACUCUCUAGUGACCGAUAGUGAACCAGUACCGUGAGGGAAAGGUGAAAAGCACCCCGGAAGGGGAGUGAAAUAGAACCUGAAACCGUGUGCUUACAAGUAGUCAGAGCCCGUUAAUGGGUGAUGGCGUGCCUUUUGUAGAAUGAACCGGCGAGUUACGAUUUGAUGCAAGGUUAAGCAGUAAAUGUGGAGCCGUAGCGAAAGCGAGUCUGAAUAGGGCGUUUAGUAUUUGGUCGUAGACCCGAAACCAGGUGAUCUACCCUUGGUCAGGUUGAAGUUCAGGUAACACUGAAUGGAGGACCGAACCGACUUACGUUGAAAAGUGAGCGGAUGAACUGAGGGUAGCGGAGAAAUUCCAAUCGAACCUGGAGAUAGCUGGUUCUCUCCGAAAUAGCUUUAGGGCUAGCCUCAAGUGAUGAUUAUUGGAGGUAGAGCACUGUUUGGACGAGGGGCCCCUCUCGGGUUACCGAAUUCAGACAAACUCCGAAUGCCAAUUAAUUUAACUUGGGAGUCAGAACAUGGGUGAUAAGGUCCGUGUUCGAAAGGGAAACAGCCCAGACCACCAGCUAAGGUCCCAAAAUAUAUGUUAAGUGGAAAAGGAUGUGGCGUUGCCCAGACAACUAGGAUGUUGGCUUAGAAGCAGCCAUCAUUUAAAGAGUGCGUAAUAGCUCACUAGUCGAGUGACACUGCGCCGAAAAUGUACCGGGGCUAAACAUAUUACCGAAGCUGUGGAUUGUCCUUUGGACAAUGGUAGGAGAGCGUUCUAAGGGCGUUGAAGCAUGAUCGUAAGGACAUGUGGAGCGCUUAGAAGUGAGAAUGCCGGUGUGAGUAGCGAAAGACGGGUGAGAAUCCCGUCCACCGAUUGACUAAGGUUUCCAGAGGAAGGCUCGUCCGCUCUGGGUUAGUCGGGUCCUAAGCUGAGGCCGACAGGCGUAGGCGAUGGAUAACAGGUUGAUA